rnacentral:rRNA from 1 species
UACGGGGGGGAGCAAGCGUUGUUCGGAUUUACUGGGCGUAAAGGGCGCGUAGGCGGUCGUGACAAGUCACUUGUGAAAUCUCCGGGCUUAACUCGGAACGGCCAAGUGAAACUGUCAAGCUAGAGUGCAGAAGGGGCAAUCGGAAUUCUUGGUGUAGCGGUGAAAUGCGUAGAUAUCAAGAGGAACACCUGAGGUGAAGACGGGUUGCUGGGCUGACACUGACGCUGAGGCGCGAAAGCCAGGGAGCAAACGGG